rnacentral:RNase_P_RNA from 1 species
AGUAAGCUGUGUAGUCGCGCAGGCAUUCCCUGCGAGGAAAGUCCGAGCAUCACAGGACAGGAUAGCUGUUAACCACAGCCGGAGGCGACUCUAGGGCAAGUGCAACAGAAAGAAACCGCAGGAGAAAGCGGGCAUCAAAAAAAUGCCGCUUUCUCAUUUCAAAUAUGGCAAGCCAUAUUUGCGCCGUGGGUGCGGCGAUGAGAGAUUGGGCGUUGUUUGAUGCCUGUUUUCUCCUGUAAGGAUGGAAAGGCGAGGUAAGAGCUCACCAGCGCACAGGAGACUGUGCGGCUAUGUAAACCCUAUCCGAUGCAACACCGACUAAGAUGGAUUCGCUGGUCCGGCGGUCUUGACGGGUGGCAGGGGAAGUGAAAUUCCCCGAGCAUGCAGCGGCGACGCCAUGCAAAGAUAGAUGACUACACCAGACAGAACUCGGCUUAUAGGCUUAGU